GUCUAUGGCCAUACUACCCUGAGUACACCGGAUCUUGGAAGCUAACCAGGGUUUGUCCUGGUUAGUGCUCGGAUGGGAGACCACCUGGGAAUACUGGGUACUGUAGACU
rnacentral:rRNA from 1 species